AUGGUCUCCACAUUCAUGAUUGUAAACCAACUGGUAAUGCCUUGGUUAGAAGCUCACCAUCACAUUAUGGUUGGAGGACUAUGGCUGAUGGUGAUGCCAUUUCCAUUUUCGGUUCAAGCCAUAUUUGGGUUGAUCACAACUCUCUUUCUAAUUGUGCUGAUGGUCUCGUUGAUGCUAUUAUGGGUUCAACUGCAAUUACCAUUUCAAACAAUUACUUCACCCAUCACAAUGAGGUG
rnacentral:misc_RNA from 1 species